AAGUUUAGGUUAAAAAAACCAGGGGCCUUCAAAGCCCCAAACAGAAGGGACACCCUCCUAACUCCU
rnacentral:tRNA from 1 species